AUAAAGCUAGGGCUAGGGUUUAUAAGGCAUGUAGCAUGUAAGAAAGGAAAGAAAAGGGCCGACUAAUUUUAUGAUGAGGCAUGAGGUAUUAGAGGCGUGUAAUAAAAGAAGGAUGGGGCAUGCCCACUUUGUGCGUGAAGAAAGAUGGGAGGAUUUUGGGGGUGUCAAAGAAAGUUUAGCAUACAAGAUAGAGGGAACUAGGGC
rnacentral:lncRNA from 1 species